UCAAGCUACAAAGAGCACAAGGGGAAUGCCUUGGCACCGAGAGCCGAAGAAGGACGUGACUAACUGCGAUAAGCUGCGGGGAGCCGUAAGUAGGCUUUGAUCCGCAGAUUUCCGAAUGGAGCAAUCCGGCAAGAGGAAAGUCUUGUCAUCAUAUACUGAAUACAUAGGUAUAUGAGGGGAACCGCCUGAACUGAAACAUCUAAGUAGGGCGAGGAAGAGAAAUCAACUGAGAUUCCGUAAGUAGUGGCGAGCGAACGCGGAAGAGGCCAAACCGAGAGUAGUAAUACUUUCGGGGUUCGGACAGAAAACGGUAUUGUAAAGGUUUAGUGGAAUGGAAUGGGAAGUCCAACCGAAGAAGGUGAGAGUCCUGUACACGAAAAGCCUGAACAGCCAUCUGUAUCCAGAGUACCGCCGGACACGUGAAACCCGGUGGGAAUACGGGGGGACCAUCCUCCAAGCCUAAAUACUACUCGGUGACCGAUAGUGAAGAAGUACUGUGAAGGAAAGGUGAAAAGUACCCCUGACGGGGAGUGAAAAAGAACCUGAAACCUUGUGUUUACAAGCACCGAAAGCUCAUCAAAGAGCGAUCGGGUACCUUUUGUAGAAUGGUCCGGCGAGUGAAUGUAACCGGCGAGGUUAAGCACUUAAGGUGUGAAGCCGCAGCGAGAGCAAGUCUGAAUAGGGCGUAUGAAGUCGGUUGUAUUCGACCCGAAACCGGGUGACCUACCCAUGGUCAGGUUGAAGUAAAGGUAAAACUUUAUGGAGGACCGAACCGACUCCCGUUGAAAUGGUAGCGGAUGAACUGUGGGUAGCGGAGAAAUUCCAAUCGAACCCGGAGAUAGCUGGUUCUCUCCGAAAUAGCUUUAGGGCUAGCCUUGAAAUAGAUUACCGGAGGUAAAGCACUGAAUUGGCUAGGGGCCGAGAGGUUACUGAACCUUAUCAAACUAAGAAUGCCGGAUAAUCGUUUUUCAGGAGUCAGACAGUGGGAGAUAAGUUUCAUUGUCAAAAGGGAAACAGCCCAGACCCACAGCUAAGGUCCCCAAGUAUAGUUAAGUGGAAAAGGAUGUGGAAUUGCACAGACAACCAGGAUGUUGGCUUAGAAGCAGCCACUCAUUAAAAGAGUGCGUAAUAGCUCACUGGUCGAGUGACUCUGCGCCGAAAAUUUAACGGGGCUAAACUAUACACCGAAGCUUGGGAUACAUCUAAUGUAUGGUAGGAGAGCGUUCUGUAAGGGGUGAAGUCGUAGCGAAAGCGGCGGUGGACUUUACAGAAGUGAGAAUGCCGGAAUAAGUAGCGAGAAUUAAGUGAGAAUCUUAAUGGCCGAAAGUCUAAGGUUUUUGGAGGAAGGUUCGUCCGCUCCAAGUAAGUCGGGAGCUAAGGUCAGGCCGAAAGGCGUAGCCGAUGCACAUACGGUUGAUAUUCCGUAACCAUCUGUAAUUUAAGCAAAGGGACACUUCAAAAGGGUGUGACCCGGGCGUUGGUUGACCCGGGCGUAAGGGACCGAAAUUAGAGUAGGGAAGCACACUUAGCUGAAGGCGAGAAAAGCUUUGCGUAUAGAAGCAGAUGCCCGUACCGCAAACCGACACAGGUGGACAGGAAGAGAAUUCUAAGGCCAGCGGGAGAAGGGUAGUUAAGGAACUCGGCAAAUUGACUCCGUAACUUCGGAAUAAGGAGUGCUCGAAAGAGCCGCAGAGAAUAGGCCCAGGCGACUGUUUAGCAAAAACACAGGUCUCUGCCAAAUCGAAAGAUGAAGUAUAGGGGCUGACACCUGCCCGGUGCCGGAAGGUUAAGAGGAGGAGUGAGAGCUCCGAAUUGAAGCCCCGGUAAACGGCGGCCGUAACUAUAACGGUCCUAAGGUAGCGAAAUUCCUUGUCGGGUAAGUUCCGACCCGCACGAAUGGUGUAACGAUCUGGGCACUGUCUCAACUACCCACCCGGCGAAAUUGUAGUACCGGUGAAGAUGCCGGUUACCUGCGGCAAGACGGAAAGACCCCAUGGAGCUUUACUGUAGCCUGAUAUU
rnacentral:rRNA from 1 species